rnacentral:tRNA from 1 species
UCCCUAGAGGACUAGUGGUUAGGCCUCAGCACUCUCACUGCUGCGGCCUGGGCUCGAUUCCCGGCCAGGGAG